ACCUGAACUCAGACGUGGUAACCCGCUGAACUUAAGCAUAUCAGUAAGCGGAGGA
rnacentral:rRNA from 1 species